GAUUAAAUGGCUGGAAGUUUAGGCAAUAAAUUGUAAAUUUAUGUAUAAGAAAUAUUCUUUUUAAUCA